rnacentral:rRNA from 1 species
AGGGUUCGAUUCUGGCUCAGGAUUAACGCUGGCGGCAUGCCUAAUACAUGCAAGUCGAAUGGGAAAGCUUGCUUUCCAUGGCGAACGGGUGAGUAACACGUAGGUAACCUACCUUAAGGACGAGGAUAACCUUUGGAAACGAAGGAUAAUACUGGAUAGGACAUUGUAAAGCACAUGCUUAAAUGUUUAAAGGAGCAAUCCACCAUAAGAGGGGCCUGCGGCGCAUUAGCUAGUUGGUGAGGUAAAGGCCCACCAAGGCGAUGAUGCGUAGCUGGACUGAGAGGUUGAACAGCCACAAUGGGACUGAGAACGGCCCAUACUCCUACGGGAGGCAGCAGUAGGGAAUUUUCGGCAAUGGACGAAAGUCUGACCGAAGCAAUGCCGCGUGAACGAAGAAGUAUUUCGGUAUGUAAAGUUCUUUUAUCAGGGAAGAAAAAACAAAUUGACUGAACCUGAUGAAUAAGCUCCGGCUAACUACGUGCCAGCAGCGGC